rnacentral:rRNA from 1 species
UAAUAUAUAGGUAACAUGCCUUCGAGAAGGGGAUAACGUUUGGAAACGAACGCUAAUACCCUAUAUGCCUUUAAGACAUAAGUCUGCAAGGGAAAUACUUAUAGCUCGAAGACUGGCCUGUACAGUAUCAGUUAGUUGGUGAGGUAAUGGCUCACCAAGACAAUGACGCUUAACUGGUUUGAGAGGAUGAUCAGUCACACUGGAACUGAGACACGGUCCAGACUCCUACGGGAGGCAGCAGUGGGGAAUAUUGCACAAUGGACGAAAGUCUGAUGCAGCAACGCCGCGUGGAGGAUGACACAUUUCGGUGCGUAAACUCCUUUUAUAUAGGAAGAUAAUGACGGUACUAUAUGAAUAAGCACCGGCUAACUCCGUGCCAGCAGCCGCGGUAAUACGGAGGGUGCAAGCGUUACUCGGAAUCACUGGGCGUAAAGAGAAUGUAGGCGGGUAGAUAAGUCAGA